ACGGAAGGCAGCAGUGGGGAAUAUUGCACAAUGGGCGCAAGCCUGAUGCAGCGAUGCCGCGUGAGGGAAGAAGGUUUUCGGAUUGUAAACCUCUGUCCUCAGGGACGAUAAUGACGGUACCUGAGGAUGAAGCUCCGGCUAACUACGUGCCAGCAGCCGCGGUAAUACGUAGGGAGCGAGCGUUGUCCGGAAUUACUGGGUGUAAAGGGUGCGUAGGCGGGACGGCAAGUCAGAUGUGAAAUGUAUGGGCUUAACCCAUGAACUGCAUUUGAAACUGUUGUUCUUGAGUGAGGUAGAGGUAAGCGGAAUUCCUAGUGUAGCGGUGAAAUGCGUAGAUAUUAGGAGGAACAUCGGUGGCGAAGGCGGCUUACUGGGCCUUUACUGACGCUGAGGCACGAAAGCGUGGGGAGCAAACAGGAUUAGAUACCCUGGUA
rnacentral:rRNA from 1 species